rnacentral:rRNA from 1 species
AUAACAGGCUGAUACCGCCCAAGAGUUCAUAUCGACGGCGGUGUUUGGCACCUCGAUGUCGGCUCAUCACAUCCUGGGGCUGAAGUAGGUCCCAAGGGAAUGGCUGUUCGCCAUUUAAAGUGGUACGCGAGCUGGGUUUAGAACGUCGUGAGACAGUUCGGUCCCUAUCUGCCGUGGGCGCUGGAGAAUUGAGGGGGGCUGCUCCUAGUACGAGAGGACCGGAGUGGACGCAUCACUGGUGUUCGGGUUGUCAUGCCAAUGGCACUGCCCGGUAGCUAAAUGCGGAAGAGAUAAGUGCUGAAAGCAUCUAAGCACGAAACUUGCCCCGAGAUGAGUUCUCCCUGAGACUUUAAGUCUCCUGAAGGAACGUUGAAGACGACGACGUUGAUAGGCCGGGUGUGUAAGCGCAGCGAUGCGUUGAGCUAACCGGU